rnacentral:tRNA from 1 species
UCCCUGGUGGCUCAGAGGGUAGAGCGUCUGCCUGCAAUGUAGGAGACCCGGCUUCGAUCCCCGGGUUGGGAA